rnacentral:rRNA from 1 species
CCGGUUGAUCCUGCCGGACCUGACUGCUAUCGGAUUGAUACUAAGCCAUGCGAGUCAUUGUAGCAAUACAAGGCAGACGGCUCAGUAACGCGUAGUCAACCUAACCUAUGGACGGGAAUAACCUCGGGAAACUGAGAAUAAUGCCCGAUAGAACACUAUGCCUGGAAUGGUUUGUGUUCCAAAUGAUUUAUCGCCGUAGGAUGGGACUGCGGCCUAUCAGUUUGUUGGUGAGGUAAUGGCCCACCAAGACUAUUACAGGUACGGGCUCUGAGAGGAGUAGCCCGGAGAUGGGUACUGAGACACGGACCCAGGCCCUAUGGGGCGCAGCAGGCGAGAAAACUUUGCAAUGUGCGAAAGCACGACAAGGUUAAUCCGAGUGGUUUGUGCUAAACAGACCUUUUGUUAGUCCUAGAAACACUAACGAAUAAGGGGUGGGCAAGUUCUGGUGUCAGCCGCCGCGGUAAAACCAGCACCUCAAGUGGUCAGGAUGAUUAUUGGGCCUAAAGCAUCCGUAGCCGGCUCUGUAAGUUUUCGGUUAAAUCUGUAUGCUCAACAUACAGGCUGCCGGGAAUACUGCAGAGCUAGGGAGUGGGAGAGGUAGACGGUACUCGGUAGGAAGGGGUAAAAUCCUUUGAUCUAUUGAUGACCACCUGUGGCGAAGGCGGUCUACCAGAACACGUCCGACGGUGAGGGAUGAAAGCUGGGGGAGCAAACCGGAUUAGAUACCCGGGUAGUCCCAGCUGUAAACUAUGCAAACUCAGUGAUGCAUUGGCUUGUGGCCAAUGCAGUGCUGCAGGGAAGCCGUUAAGUUUGCCGCCUGGGAAGUACGUACGCAAGUAUGAAACUUAAAGGAAUUGGCGGGGGAGCACCACAAGGGGUGAAGCCUGCGGUUCAAUUGGAGUCAACGCCGGAAAUC